AAACAAAUACAGGAUAUGGAAGUGGGAGAGAAAAAAACAACAAACAAUAAAAACACUUUCUUGUACGAUCUCCCAUCCUUCCUUUAUUUGUUUGUGCGUGUGUGUCUCCUUUCUUCCAUCG
rnacentral:ribozyme from 1 species